GAUGAACGCUGGCGGCGUGCUUAACACAUGCAAGUCGAACGAUGAUCCCAGCUUGCUGGGGGAUUAGUGGCGAACGGGUGAGUAACACGUGAGUAACCUGCCCUUGACUCUGGGAUAAGCCUGGGAAACUGGGUCUAAUACCGGAUAUGACUCCUCAUCGCAUGGUGGGGGGUGGAAAGCUUUUGUGGUUUUGGAUGGACUCGCGGCCUAUCAGCUUGUUGGUGGGGUAAUGGCCUACCAAGGCGACGACGGGUAGCCGGCCUGAGAGGGUGACCGGCCACACUGGGACUGAGACACGGCCCAGACUCCUACGGGAGGCAGCAGUGGGGAAUAUUGCACAAUGGGCGCAAGCCUGAUGCAGCGACGCCGCGUGAGGGAUGACGGCCUUCGGGUUGUAAACCUCUUUCAGUAGGGAAGAAGCGAAAGUGACGGUACCUGCAGAAGAAGCGCCGGCUAACUACGUGCCAGCAGCCGCGGUAAUACGUAGGGCGCAAGCGUUAUCCGGAAUUAUUGGGCGUAAAGAGCUCGUAGGCGGUUUGUCGCGUCUGCUGUGAAAGACCGGGGCUCAACUCCGGUUCUGCAGUGGGUACGGGCAGACUAGAGUGAUGUAGGGGAGACUGGAAUUCCUGGUGUAGCGGUGAAAUGCGCAGAUAUCAGGAGGAACACCGAUGGCGAAGGCAGGUCUCUGGGCAUUAACUGACGCUGAGGAGCGAAAGCAUGGGGAGCGAACAGGAUUAGAUACCCUGGUAGUCCAUGCCGUAAACGUUGGGCACUAGGUGUGGGGGACAUUCCACGUUUUCCGCGCCGUAGCUAACGCAUUAAGUGCCCCGCCUGGGGAGUACGGCCGCAAGGCUAAAACUCAAAGGAAUUGACGGGGGCCCGCACAAGCGGCGGAGCAUGCGGAUUAAUUCGAUGCAACGCGAAGAACCUUACCAAGGCUUGACAUGAACCGGUAAUACCUGGAAACAGGUGCCCCGCUUGCGGUCGGUUUACAGGUGGUGCAUGGUUGUCGUCAGCUCGUGUCGUGAGAUGUUGGGUUAAGUCCCGCAACGAGCGCAACCCUCGUUCUAUGUUGCCAGCGCGUUAUGGCGGGGACUCAUAGGAGACUGCCGGGGUCAACUCGGAGGAAGGUGGGGACGACGUCAAAUCAUCAUGCCCCUUAUGUCUUGGGCUUCACGCAUGCUACAAUGGCCGGUACAAAGGGUUGCGAUACUGUGAGGUGGAGCUAAUCCCAAAAAGCCGGUCUCAGUUCGGAUUGGGGUCUGCAACUCGACCCCAUGAAGUCGGAGUCGCUAGUAAUCGCAGAUCAGCAACGCUGCGGUGAAUACGUU
rnacentral:rRNA from 1 species